AACGCUAGCUACAGGCUUAACACAUGCAAGUCGAGGGGCAGCAUGGUCUUAGCUUGCUAAGGCCGAUGGCGACCGGCGCACGGGUGAGUAACACGUAUCCAACCUGCCGUCUACUCUUGGACAGCCUUCUGAAAGGAAGAUUAAUACAAGAUGGCAUCAUGAGUUCGCAUGUUCACAUGAUUAAAGGUAUUCCGGUAAACGAUGGGGAUGCGUUCCAUUAGAUAGUAGGCGGGGUAACGGCCCACCUAGUCUUCGAUGGAUAGGGGUUCUGAGAGGAAGGUCCCCCACAUUGGAACUGAGACACGGUCCAAACUCCUACGGGAGGCAGCAGUGAGGAAUAUUGGUCAAUGGGCGCAGGCCUGAACCAGCCAAGUAGCGUGAAGGAUGACUGCCCUAUGGGUUGUAAACUUCUUUUAUAAAGGAAUAAAGUUAGCCACGUGUGGUUAUUUGUAGGUACUGUAUGAAUAAGGACCGGCUAAUUCCGUGCCAGCAGCCGCGGUAAUACGGAAGGUCCAGGCGUUAUCCGGAUUUAUUGGGUUUAAAGGGAGCGUAGGCCGUCUGUUAAGCGUGUUGUGAAAUGUAGAUGCUCAACAUCUGAAUUGCAGCGCGAACUGGCAGACUUGAGUGUGCGCAACGUAGGCGGAAUUCGUGGUGUAGCGGUGAAAUGCUUAGAUAUCACGAAGAACUCCGAUUG
rnacentral:rRNA from 1 species